UAAGAAGUAGUGUAAGUGGGUGCACGAGGAGUUUUGAUCUCCUUGGAAUAGGUUCAAACCCUUUCUUCUUAA
rnacentral:tRNA from 1 species